rnacentral:lncRNA from 1 species
UUUGAUCUUGUUACUAGUCCACUGAAACUUUCCAGGUUUGGAACUCUAUUUGUGUUCACGUCAUUUAAAAUUUGCUCCAAGUCACCUUUUGAUGCUCUUUGAGUAUCUUGAGUGUUUUUAGCCUUGUUUGCAUUAUUCCCCCUCCCCUCAAAAGAAUUCGUUCUCGAAUCAAUUUCAAAAGGUGAUAAAUCAUAUAUGUUAAAUGUAGCCGAAAUACUAUAUUCACCUGGUAGGUCAACUUUG